rnacentral:SRP_RNA from 1 species
GCCAGGCGUGGUGGCGCAUGCCUGUAAUCCCAGCUACUCGGGAGGCUGAGGCAGGAGAAUCGCUUGAACCCAGGAGGCUGAAGUUGCGGUGAGCUGAGACUGCACCAUUGCACUUCAGCCUGGGUAACAGAGCAAGACCCUGUCUCAA